AUUGAACGCUGGCGGCAUGCCUAACACAUGCAAGUCGAGCGAGCGGCGGACGGGUGAGCAAUGUCUGGGAAACUGCCUGAUGGAGGGGGAUAACUACUGGAAACGUUAGCUAAUACCGCAUAACAUCAGAUGUGACCAGAGGGGAUUAGCUAGUAGGUGGGGUAAUGGCUCACCUAGGCGACGAUCCCUAGCUGGUCUGAGAGGAUGACCGGCCACACUGGAACUGAGACACGGCCCAGACUCCUACGGGAGGCAGCAGUGGGGAAUCUUGCGCAAUGGGCGCAAGCCUGAUGCAGCCAUGCCGCGUGUGUGAAGAAGGCCUUCGGGUUGUAAAGCACUUUCAGUGGGGAGGCGUUACUCGCAGAAAAAGCACCGGCUAACUCCGUGCCAGCCGCCGCGGUAAUAC
rnacentral:rRNA from 1 species